GCAUAGUUAGGAAACCUCUUUCAGCCUAUAUAACAGCAUGGUGGUGCAGAAUAUGAAAGGCAUAUUUAGAGUCACUAUAAAUAUUGAUGUGUAGUCCUUUUGCAAGAGUGAGGGCUUGAGUUAAGGCAACUAGUUUGGCUUGCUGAGAGGUAGUGGAGGGGGGGCAGAGCGAUAGACUCAGUGAUAGAUGUGGAAGAUACUCUAGCAUAGCCUGCCUUUGCUGGUGAGUGGCGAUUAGGCCUGGCAGAACUGCCAUGAAUAAACUAAAUGUGAUCAGGGUGAGGAACAGGAAAGAAGGAAAUAUGGGGAAAUGGGGUGAAUGUCAGGUGGAUCAGAGAGAUACAGUCAUGAGGGUCAGGUGUGGUAUCCAGAAUAAUGUGGGAGGCCAGAUCGAAGUCCAUGCCAGGAACAAUGGUAAUUGUGGGAGACUCAACAAAGAGUAUGGCUGAAGGAGCGGGGGAGCAGAAAGUAUAUGUGUCAGGUAUGAGGAAGAAAAUAGAUUUUGGAAGUUAUGAGAAAUGUAGAGAGUGAGUUGAGCAUAGUUUGUGAUUUUUAGGGCCUCUAAAAGUAUUAAAGCAGCGGCAGCUGCUGCACGCAGACAUGAGGGCUAGGCUGAAACAGUAAGGUCAAGUUGUUUGGACAGAAACGCUACAGGGUGCGGUCCCGGCUCUUUUGUAAGAAUUCUGACCGCGCUAACCAUGCCUAGGAAGGAAAGGAGUUGUUGUUUUGUAAGGGAUUGAGGUUUGGGAGAUUAGUCGGACACAAUUGGCAGGGACAGCACGUGUGUUUUUACGAGAAUUAUGCAGAGAAAGGUAACAGGUGAGGAUGAAAUUUGAGCUUGACUGAAGUAAUGGGGGCUGUCUGUGAAGCCUUGCGGCAGUACAGCCCAGGUAAUUUGCUGAGCCUAAUGGGUGUCAGGGUCAGUCCAAGUGAAAGCGAAGAGAGGCUGGGAUGAAGGGUGCAAAGGAAUGGUAAAGAAAGCAAUGUUUGAGAUCCAGAACAGAAGAAUGGGUUGUAGAGGGAGGUAUUGAGGAUAGGAGAGUAUAUGGGUUUGGCACCACGGGGUGGAUAGGCAAAACAAUUUGGUUGAUAAGGUGCAGAUCCUGAACUAACCUGUAAGUCUUGUCUGGUUUUAGGACGGGUAAAAUGGGGGAAUUGUAAGGAGAGUUUAUAGGCUUUAAAAGGCCAUACUGUAACAGGUGAGUGAUAACAGACUUUAAUCCUUUUAAAGUGUGCUAUGGGAUGGGAUAUUGGCAUUGAGCAAGGUAAGCGUAAUUAGGUUUUAAUGGGAUGGUAAGGGGUGCAUGAUCGGUCGCUAAGGAGGGAGUAGAGGUGUCUUAUACUUGUGGGUUAAGAUGGGGAGAUACAAGGGGAGGAUAUGAAGGAGGCUUUGAAUGGGGGAAAAGGCGGCAAUGAGGUGUGGCUGUAGCCCAGGAAUAAUCAGGGAAGCAGAUAAUUUAGUUAAAGUGUCUCAGCCUAAUAAAGGAACUGGGCAGGUGGGGAUAACUAAAAAGGAGUGCUUAAAAGAGUAUUGUCUAAGUUGGCACCAGAGUUGGGGAGUUUUAAGAGGUUUAGAAGCCUGGCCAUCAAUACCCACAACAGUUACGGAGGCAAGGGAAACAGGCCCUUGAAAAGAAGGUAAUGUGGAGUGGAUAGCUUUCGUAUUGAUUAAGAAGGGGAUGGACUUACCUUCCACUGUGAGAGUUACCUGAAACUCGGCAUCCGUGAUGGUUUAGGGGGCUUCCGAGGCGAUCAGGCAGUGUCAGUCUUCAGCCGUUAAGCUGAGAAGAUCUGGGAAGGAGUCAGUCAGAGAGCCUUGGGCCAGAGUCCCAGGAGCUCUUGGAGUGGCUGCCAGCAUUCUUACAGGAUAACUCUUAGCAUCCAUAUUUUACUGUUGAAACAGAGACUCAUGAAAAUAUUAGAGCAUUAAUCUCAAGGCAAUCAUCAUUAGGAAAAAAGAAAGAAAAGAAGACCUCCUUCAAUCAAGAUUCUCACUGAACUCUGGGAUACUUGAAAAUGGAACUGACUUUUUAAAAGAUAGAAUAAAUGACAAAGGUGC
rnacentral:lncRNA from 10 species